rnacentral:rRNA from 1 species
AGAGUUUGAUCCUGGCUCAGAACGAACGCUGGCGGCAGGCCUAGCACAUGCAAGUCGAGCGCCCCGCAAGGGGAGCGGCGGACGGGUGAGUAACGCGUGGGAACGUGCCCUUUGCUUCGGAAUAGCCUCGGGAAACUGAGAGUAAUACCGAAUGUGCCCUACGGGGGAAAGAUUUAUCGGCAAAGGAUCGGCCCGCGUUGGAUUAGGUAGUUGGUGGGGUAACGGCCUACCAAGCCGACGAUCCAUAGCUGGUUUGAGAGGAUGAUCAGCCACACUGGGACUGAGACACGGCCCAGACUCCUACGGGAGGCAGCAGUGGGGAAUCUUAGACAAUGGGCGCAAGCCUGAUCUAGCCAUGCCGCGUGAGCGAUGAAGGCCUUAGG